rnacentral:rRNA from 1 species
UGUCUCCUAGCACGAGGCUGCCUCCGGGCGCCCAACCUCCCACCCGUGACUACCUAACACUGUUGCUUCGGCGGGGAGCCCUCUCGGGGGCGAGCCGCCGGGGACUACUGAACUUCAUGCCUGAGAGUGAUGCAGUCUGAGUCUGAAUAUAAAAUCAGUCAAAACUUUCAACAAUGGAUCUCUUGGUUCCGGCAUCGAUGAAGAACGCAGCGAACUGCGAUAAGUAAUGUGAAUUGCAGAAUUCAGUGAAUCAUCGAGUCUUUGAACGCACAUUGCGCCCCCUGGCAUUCCGGGGGGCAUGCCUGUCCGAGCGUCAUUGCUGCCCAUCAAGCCCGGCUUGUGUGUUGGGUCGUCGUCCCCCCCGGGGGACGGGCCCGAAAGGCAGCGGCGGCACCGUGUCCGGUCCUCGAGCGUAUGGGGCUUUGUCACCCGCUCGAUUAGGGCCGGCCGGGCGCCAGCCGACGUCUCCAACCAUUUUCUUCAGGUUGACCUCGGAUCAGGUAGGGAUACCCGCUGAACUUAAGCAUAUCAAUAAGCGGAGGAAAUCAUUACCGAGUGCGGGCUGCCUCCGGGCGCCAACUCCACCGUGACUACCUAAAACUGUUGCUUCGCGGGGAGCUUCUGUGGGCAGCGCGGAACAACUCAACUUCUGCUGAAAGUGAUGCAUUCGGAGUUUGAAUAUAAAUAUUAUCAAAACUUUUCAACAAGGAAUCUCUUGGCUUCCGCUCAUGAAAGAACCACAAAUUGUUAUAAGUUAUGGUGAAUCUGCAGAAAUUCAGGAAUCCUCUUUCUUUUAACGCCCUUUCCUCUCCCCACUCUGUGGCGUAGCCCGUUCAAUCUACUUCCCCCAAACUACGGCUGGUUUUUGGGUCAUCCCCUCCC